rnacentral:misc_RNA from 1 species
AAGUCGUAACAAGGUUUCCGUAGGUGAACCUGCGGAAGGAUCAUCAAAAAAGAUGGUGUCUUGCUCUCUUCUCUCUUGGAGGGGCAGGCGCCGUUUCAUCUUUUGUGCACUUGUCUCUGUGGCGCUUUGUGCAGGUUGCGGCGGCCAAGCGAUUGGCCGCGGACCGCGCAGACCCAUCACACCUACAUCUUUGUCUAAACUCGGUGACUCGCAUGCGAGCACGCCACACAUAACAAAAAACAACUUUUAACAACGGAUCUCUAGGCUCUCC